CAGGGAGACAAUAAAUUGAUUGUGAUGUCUAAGUUAUUUAUUCUUAGGCCGCAAUCCUGUCACCUUAAGGUCGAUCGGUACCUCAGAUUUUUGAAUUAGUUUUAUAAUUGAUUCUUUGAUUUCAGUUCCUAAACUUGUCUAGGUCACACCCAACAAAGGUUUCUCCUGGGCCAUUAGCUCAGGUGGUUAGAGCGCACCCCUGAUAAGGGUGAGGUCCCUGGUUCAAGUCCAGGAUGGCCCAUUCGUUGUUGGGGGUAUAGCUCAGUUGGUAGAGCGCCUGCUUUGCAAGCAGGAUGUCAGCGGUUCGAGUCCGCUUACCUCCACUGAAAACUAUCCUGAUAACUAAAUUCUGGAGAAAAAAUUGUAGAUGUGGCUUAGAAUUGUCUAUUUGAAGAGAACCUAGCUUCUUGUCAUCUUUUUAUAGUUGAUAAAAUGCUGGGCUCGCAUGGAUUAUUUCCAUGAGAAUUCAGUAGAACCUUGAAAACUGCAUAGAUUAGAAAGAAUAAAGCAUCUCAUGGAUGCAUAAUUCUGUUUUUAUAAUUUAGCCUUAAAACUAAAUUAUUUAAUUAUAGAAUUCAUGUUUAAUUCUUGAGUAAAAGCCGAGCACAAUUGAUUUUGUGAUUGUAUUUAA
rnacentral:tRNA from 1 species